AUUAACACUGGCGAGAUUCCCAAUACAUGCAAGUCGAACGGAAACCUUCGGGUUUUAGUGUCGAACGGGUGCGUAACACGUAAGCUACCUACCCUAAAGACGAGGAUAACCAUUGGAAACAGUGGCUAAGACUGGAUAGGAAGAUAAAAGGCAUCUUUUAUCUUUUAAAAGACCUAGUAAUAGGUAUGCUUUAGGAGGGGCUUGCGCCAUAUUAGUUAGUUGGUAGGGUAAUGGCCUACCAAGACGAUGAUGUGUAGCUGGACUGAGAGGUUGAACAGCCACAUUGGGACUGAGACACGGCCCAAACUCCUACGGGAGGCAGCAGUAGGGAAUUUUCGGCAAUGGAGGAAACUCUGACCGAGCAACGCCGCGUGAAUGACGAAGUACUUCGGUAUGUAAAGUUCUUUUAUCAAGGAAGAAAAGCAAAUGGCGAACCAUUUGUUUGCCGGUACUUGAUGAAUAAGCCCCGGCUAAUUAUGUGCCAGCAGCCGCCGUAAGACAUAAGGGGCAAGUGUUAUCCGGAAUUAUUGGGCGUAAAGGGUGCGUAGGCGGUCUAGUAAGUCAGUGGUGUAAUGGCAACGCUUAACGUUGUCCGGCUAUUGAAACUGCUAAACUUGAGUUAGAUAGAGGCGAGUGGAAUUCCAUGUGUAGCGGUAAAAUGCGUAAAUAUAUGGAGGAACACCAGAGGCGUAGGCGGCUCGCUGGGUCUUAACUGACGCUGAGGCACGAAAGCGUGGGGAGCAAACAGGAUUAAAUACCCUGGUAGUCCACGCCGUAAACGAUGAGUACUAAGUGUCGGGUUAAACCGGUACUGAAGUUAACACAUUAAGUACUCCGCCUGAGUAGUACGUACGCAAGUAUGAAACUUAAAGGAAUUGACGGGACUCCGCACAAGCGGUGGAUCAUGUUGUUUAAUUCGAAGAUACCCGAAAAACCUUACCAGGUCUUGACAUGUUUUUGCAAAAUGAUAGUAAUAUCGUGGAGGUUACCAGAAACACAGGUGGUGCAUGGUUGUCGUCAGCUCGUGUCGUGAGAUGUUAGGUUAAGUCCUAAAACGAGCGAAACCCUUAUCGUUAGUUGCCAGCACGUUAUGGUGGGGACUUUAACGAGACUGCCAAUGAUAAAUUGGAGGAAGGUGAGGAUCACGUCAAAUCAGCAUGCCCCUUAUGACCUGGGCUACAAACGUGAUACAAUGGCUGUUACAAAGGGUAGCUGAAACGCAAGUUCUUGGCCAAUCCCCAAAAACAGUCCCAGUCCGGAUUGAAGUCUGCAACUCGACUUCAUGAAGUUGGAAUCGCUAGUAAUCGCGAAUCAGCAUGUCGCGGUGAAUACGUUCUCGGGGUUUGUACACACCGCCCGUCAAACCACGAAAGUUGGCAAUACCCCAAAACGGUAGCCUAACUCGU
rnacentral:rRNA from 1 species